rnacentral:misc_RNA from 1 species
AACCAUAGAAACCUGCGGAGUACCUGCGGAAGGAUCAUUAUCCAUCCAAAACCAGCUGCGGUCGCGGCCCCACGCUUACCCGUGGCGGUACGCGCCGCACGUCUGCACCCUUUUUUUACGAGUACCUUCGUUCUCCCUCGGCAGGGCAACCUGCCGUUGGAACCAUACAAAACCUUUUUUUGCAUCUAGCAUUACCUGUUCUGAUACAAACAAUCGUUACAACUUUUAACAAUGGAUCUC